rnacentral:rRNA from 1 species
GUCCUAGCCGUAAACGGUGCACGUUUGCUGUAAAAGGAAUCGACCCCUUUUGUGGCGUAGCCAACGCGUUAAACGUGCCGCCUGGGAAGUACGGUCGCAAGAUUAAAACUCAAAGAAAUUGACGGGGGCCUGCACAAGCGGUGGAGUAUGUGGCUCAAUUCGAUGCAACGCGAAGAACCUUACCUGGCCUUGACAUGUAGGUAGUAGAAGUGUGAAAGCAUGACGAUCCCGCAAGGGAAGCCUACACAGGUGCUGCAUGGCUGUCGU